rnacentral:rRNA from 1 species
UACGGAGGGUGCAAGCGUUAUCCGGAUUCACUGGGUUUAAAGGGUGCGUAGGUGGGCAGGUAAGUCAGUGGUGAAAUCCUGUAGCUUAACUACAGAACUGCCAUUGAUACUAUUUGUCUUGAAUACCCUGGAGGUGAGCGGAAUAUGUCAUGUAGCGGUGAAAUGCUUAGAUAUGACAUAGAACAUCUAUUGCGAAGGACAGCUCACUACGGGAAUAUUGACGCUGAGGCACGAAAGCGUGGGGAUCAAACAGG